GAUGAACGCUGGCGGCGUGCCUAAUACAUGCAAGUCGAGCGAACAGACGAGGAGCUUGCUCCUCUGACGUUAGCGGCGGACGGGUGAGUAACACGAGGAUAACCUACCUAUAAGACUGGGAUAACUUCGGGAAACCGGAGCUAAUACCGGAUAAUAUAUUGAACCGCAUGGUUCAAUAGUGAAAGACGGUUUUGCUGUCACUUAUAGAUGGAUCCGCGCCGCAUUAGCUAGUUGGUAAGGUAACGGCUUACCAAGGCGACGAUGCGUAGCCGACCUGAGAGGGUGAUCGGCCACACUGGAACUGAGACACGGUCCAGACUCCUACGGGAGGCAGCAGUAGGGAAUCUUCCGCAAUGGGCGAAAGCCUGACGGAGCAACGCCGCGUGAGUGAUGAAGGUCUUCGGAUCGUAAAACUCUGUUAUUAGGGAAGAACAAAUGUGUAAGUAACUAUGCACGUCUUGACGGUACCUAAUCAGAAAGCCACGGCUAACUACGUG
rnacentral:rRNA from 1 species